CCUUCUCUUACAUCUGUUUUCUGCGACUGCAUCAGCCCCAUCCAACAUCUGCAGCUCCGGAACAUACGCCGAAGUCUGAACAAAGAAGUGCUAUUAAGAACAAGUCUGAAGAAAUAGAGUGCACCAAAAAGGUAUUUGAAGGAGGUGCAUGGAGAUAGCGACUGGAAUCAACAUUAAAGCAAAAGGGAUAACAAGGCCCACCCUUGUCCCUGGAUGUAUUACUAGUGGCUCACUCAAGUUUAAGUGGAGUAAAUGUGACUUCAAGAUAAGAAAUAACAUCCUAAUAGAUGGAGAUAACUUCCCUAAAGAAAAUUGGACUUUCUUUGCUGCCAAGGAUAAGCCAUGUUCCACCUGAUCCAGCUUUACCAUAGACACCGAAGUGAUUACAGGCACAACCAUGGGAUUGGGUCUGCAGCUGUACGGCUGUCCCCAGAAAGCAUCCAUAACAGCUUCGAUGCAGUACCCAAAAAUACUUGCAAUUUGUCUCCAGGAUAUAUUGCGGUUAGCCUCUAUUGGUUAUGUGUAUAUUUCUUUUGUAACAUUGAAAUAACUAUUCUGCUUCCAGGGUCACAUAAGCGUCUUCAUAAAAUUCAAGUACUACUACACAGUGAGUGCUUAAUAGCUUGCCACCUUUUUCCA